UGGGGAAUAUUGGACAAUGGGGGCAACCCUGAUCCAGCCAUGCCGCGUGAGUGAAGAAGGCCUUCGGGUUGUAAAGCUCUUUCGGACGGAACGAAAUGGUCAGGGUGAAUAUCCCUGACUGAUGACGGUACUGUAAGAAGAAGCACCGGCUAACUACGUGCCAGCAGCCGCGGUAAUACGUAGGGUGCGAGCGUUAAUCGGAAUUACUGGGCGUAAAGCGUGCGCAGGCGGCCGCGCAAGUCAGGUGUGAAAGCCCAGGGCUCAACCCUGGAAGUGCAUUUGAUACUGCGAAGCUUGAGUGCUGGAGAGGUUACUAGAAUACCUGGUGUAGUGGUGAAAUACGUAGAUAUCAGGUGGAAUACCGGAGGCGAAGGCGGGUAACCAGCCAGACACUGACACUCAGAUCCGAAAGUGUGGGGAUCAAACAGGAUUAGAUACCCACGUAGUCCCUGAGCGGGCUGGCAAGGCGCAU
rnacentral:rRNA from 1 species